CAAUAGCCCCGAUAGAAGCGGCAUCCUUUUUUGCUGGGGAAAAAGCCUGGGCAAAAAAGAUAUAGCGGAUAGCGGGAUCAAGC
rnacentral:sRNA from 1 species